GGAUGGGUGGCCGAGCGGUUGAAGGCAACGGUCUUGAAAACCGUCAAACUUGCAAGAGUUUCGUGGGUUCGAACCCCACCCCAUCCGCCA
rnacentral:tRNA from 1 species